UGCGUAGGCGGUUUUCUAAGUUUGGUGUGAAAUCUCCCGGCUCAACUGGGAGGGUGCGCCGAAAACUGGAAGGCUAGAGUGUGGGAGAGGAGAGCGGAAUUCCUGGUGUAGCGGUGAAAUGCGUAGAUAUCAGGAGGAACACCUGCGGUGCAGACGGCUCUCUGGACCACUACUGACGCUGAGGCACGAAAGCGUGGGGAGCAAACAGGAUUAGAUACCCUGGUAGUCCACGCCCUAAACGAUGCACACUUGGUGUGGGUCAUUCAUUUGAUCCGUGCCGGAGUUAACGCGUUAAGUGUGCCGCCUGGGGAGUACGGUCGCAAGGCUGAA
rnacentral:rRNA from 1 species